UUAGUCACCGUGAGGAAGCCAAAUUGGAUCCGGGAGUCUUUUUCUAAAGGCCAGUACUGGCCACAUUUUCUCCUGCCGCCUUCCUCAAAGCUGAAGACAUAGAGAGCAAGUUAAGCCUUCACUCUUCAACCAGCUGUAGAGAUGUGAAUGAACAGAAUAGCAGUCAGAAGAAGAAGGAAAUGAAGGGCUAAGGGAACUGGCAAUUCAGCAGCCAGGAAGGCACCCUUCCUCUUCAGACAAGAGGCAGCUUAAAGGGAGGUCCUCAAACACACUGUACCAUCUCCGUAUGGGUGAGUAUUAAAAACAGAAUGACAGGAUUGGAGAGAUGGCUCAGCAGUUGAAAACUCAUACUGCUCUUGCAGAAGACCUAAAUUCAGCUCCCAGCACCUACAUCAGGUAUCUCACAACAGCCUGCAACUCCAGCUUCAUGGGAUCCAAUGCCCCUUUCUGGCAUUCACACGUACGUACACACACACACACACACACACACACACACACACACACACACACACGGUUAAGACUACCUGCUGCUCUUUCUAAGGAACUGGAUUCAAUUCUAAGCACCCACAUGGAAGCUAAGAGCUUUUAUAACUCUAGUUCCAGAAGACCUAAUGCCCUCUUCUGGUCACUGUGGACACUGCGUGCAUGUACUGUCGCAGGCAAAACACCUAUACACACAAAAUAAAAAUAAAAAUUUAAAGAUAAAUAAAAUGACUCUGUACCAAAAAUAAAAGGAAAGAGAAUGUUCAGAUUUUAAAGAUGUCCAGGUGAGCCACAUGUAGGAACAUUGUUAAAGACCCUCUCAGAACCUGAACCACAGAGCCUUGACAACCAUAUCUAUGGUAACAGUGUCAAGUCUAUGCCCACCCAUCUCUCUUUCUACCUCACUAGCCCUCAGCCUCAUAAUACAUUGACUACUAAACCAGGCUACUUCUGUGUCCCACUGUCUCAAAUCCCUUAGGACAGAGACCUAGUCUUGUUCAAAAUCUUUUCACUUACUUAUAUAUUUACCUUCCCUCACUCCCUUUUUCUUUUGUGAGACGGGAUCUUACUGUAUAAUUCAGACAGGCCUCAAACUUGUGAUUCAAAUUAUAGGCAUGUGCCACCAUGCCAAGUUUUCUUUCUCAAUUUUCUUAUCUCUAAUAAUAGGACUUCCAGUAUUCUUGGUUAAAAUUAUUAUCAUCACUGCUGGUUUUGUUUAUAAGUGUUGGGGUGUGAUGUGAUGAGCAGGCCUGCCACAGUGUACAUGUGGCUUUGAGAGGACCUGAAUGCUAAGAACUUAUAUUUUAGGUUUGUUUUCUUCUUCCACCUUACAUGGUGCAGGAGAUUUGACUCAGGCCACUAGGCCUGUAACACUAGCACUUUUACUGUGCAAGUCAUCUCAGUAUUUUUAAAUCAUUUACUCUUUUAAAAAACUGGAGUCACUUGGUGGGGGGAGUGACAUAUGCCUUUAAUCCCAGCACUUGGGAGGCAGGUGGAUAUCUGUGAGUUUGAGGCCAACCAGGGCUACACAUAGAAGCCCUGUGUGGAGGGAAAGGUGGUGGGGGAGAUAGUCUAGGAUAACAACAGCACACUCACACUACAGAGGGGACAAGUGGACAGCCACCGGUGGUGAUAGAUGCUUUUAAUCGUAGUACUUGGGAGGCAGAGGCAGAGGCAGAGGCAGAUGGACCUCUGAGUUCCAUUACAGCCAGUGCUACACAGAGAAACCCUAUCUCAAAAAAACAAAACGGAAAAAGAAAAAAAGGUGGUCAACUUUAACACACCCAUUUCCAUCGUCUCCCAGAAGUUAUCAAGGAAAAUCUAGUAAUUGUUUGCCCUUAAAGUAUCUUUCCUACACCUGCCCUUUCCCCUGUUUUUUAUAUGGGGUUCCAGUGCAGUAAGGAAUUUAUCAUUUUUUUGGUCUAAGUUACUACCACCAUUCUAAUGUAUUUUUCUAAGUAUUUCUUUCCCCUUACAGUUUAAUACUAAAAAAGGACAAUACAGACACACUGUAUCUCUCUGACUCUGUUCCAUUCAUUAUACUGUCUCCCUCACCUUGUAAUACCACUCCAUUUUUAAAGACUUAUUUUAGUUUUGUGUAUGUGUGUGUUUGGAUGUAGGCGUACAUGGCAGAUGUGUGUGGGCACCUGCAGAGGUCAGACUUGCUGGGCCUAGGGUUACAAGCAUUAUAAGCCUCCCCAUAUGGUCACUGGGAACUGAACCCUGGUCCUCUGGAAGAGGGGUAAAUGCUAAGUCAUCUCUCCCAGCCUUCUAUUUUUAAGUGCCCAGUCUUCCUCUAGACUCUCUUUGAUCGGGACACAGGAAGGACUUUUUCUUCCCUAAGCCCUGGAUGGCACAGCUGGUCCUAAAUACUUCAACCAUUUAAUUUAUAGCAUAUUACAUCAGACAGUAAAGAAAAUCCACACUUCAGUAAACAGAUAUGGAGGAUAAAUGCCAUUUUCGAAAUUGUCUGUUAUAAUUAGAACCUGCACUAUGAUGAGUACUUUGCGACAAAUGUCUUUGUAACAACUCCUCGGGAUGAUAUUUUGUUUUCCCAGUGUUUUUCCCUAUUUUCAGAGAAACAGGGUAAUAUCACAGGUCAAUUUAGACUAGAAAGCCCAAUGGUUCCAAGGUUUGUGUCAACUAAUAUUUUGUAUGUGAACGAAUGAGAGAAUGUACACAUGUAUGAAUAGCUACUCACCUAUACAUGUGGAAUCAAUGGUUAAUGCCCAGUGUCGCCCUUUGGCUGCCACCCACCUCGUUUUGCAUUUCAUGGUAUUUUUGUUUUGUUUAGUUUCAAGAUGGAGUCUCUCACUAGGACCUGGUAUCUGCCUAUUAGCUGUACUGGAUAGACCCUGAGCUCCAGGGAUCCUCCUAUCUCUGCCUCCCUAGUGCUGGGAUAACAAGUGCCUAACACUAGCACCCACAGGAGGGCUCACCACCAUCUGGUUCCAGGGGAUUUGACACUGUCUUCUAGCACUCAUGGUCAGUGCAUGCAUGCAUGCAGGGAAAACACUUCUACAUACAAAACAAAAAUAAAUAAAUAAAAAUUUAAAAACAAAAAUAAAGACAAGAAGUAGGAAGAGUGACAGCCUACUCUGCAAAGAUAGGCUCCAUCACAACAAAGAUAGACAGACAGACAGAUGGACAGGCAGAUACAGAAAGAUAGAAUAAAGGAUCUUAUUUCAGAGAGGGAGAAAUGGCUCAGUGGUUAAGAACACUAGCUGUUCUUUCAGAGGAUCCAGAUUCAGUUCCUGGAACCCAUAUAGUAGUUCACAACCACUCUAAUCCCAGAGGAUCUGAUGCCCUCUUCUGACUUCUGUAGGCAAUGCGUAUAUGUGGUACACAGACUUUAAUGCAGGCAAAAUACCUAUACACAUAAAAUAAUAAUAAGAAAAUUAAGAUGAUUUUAUCUCAAGAUAGGUAAGAGGCAGUAUAGCUUAGUGGUAGAGCUCGUGCUUAGCAUGCCCAAAGCUCUGGGUUCGAUUUCCCAUAUUCAAAACAGUGAGGGGGGGUUGGGGAUUUAGCUCAGUGGUAGAGCGCUUGCCUAGGAAGCACAAGGCCCUGGGUUCGGUCCCCAGCUCCGAAAAAAAAAAAAAAAAAAAAAAAAAAAAGAAUCAAAACAGUGAGGGGACAUCCUAAUUUGGGAAACAUAUCUGUUUCUUCUAAAUCCUUAUCAUGUGCCAUUAAGGAAGUUAAAUCCCUCUCUCUACCUACCUUGAAUUUUGUGUCUGGUUUAUCAGAUAUUCUAACUGCUUAGCUAUGCCAAUUCUAACAAUAGUUUUGGGGUUUUGAGGGAGAGUCUUUUGAAACAGGGUCUCAAUGUAUAGCACAGGCUGGUCUUGAAUGAAUGAUCCCACUGUCUCUGCCACCAUCAAGUAUUAUCUGUACUUAGCCAUGGUUUGAAUAUGGAAAAAUAAAGUGGGUGUGGGUCAAUAGUCAAACACGUGUUUGUCCUGUGCAAGGCCCUGGGUUUGAGCAUCAGAACUCAGGGAAUCUAGUAAUAAAGUAUGUGAGAAGCACAAGCAAUGGUGCUUGAAUGAGGGCGGGACUUAGAGAUGCAGAAAAGUGCCUGUACUGCCUUCUUGGUGUUCAUGUAUGGGUAAUGCUUAACUGUUGUGAUUUAUUUAGAAAAUGAAAAUAAAAUGGUGGUGGAACACCCCUUUAGUCCCAGCACUUUGGAAGUAGAAGCAGCCAGACCUCUGUGUAGGAGGCCAAUUUGACCUACAAAAAGAGAUCCAGGACAGCCAGGACUACACAGAGAAACCCUGUCUAAAAAAAAAUAAAAACAAAAAAGGAAAAUGAAGAUAAAAUCAUUAACUCUAAGAUCCAGAGACAAUGUAAACAUUUUCCAACAUCUCCAAGACCUUUCCUAUGUAUAUUUAUAGAUAUGGGCAAAUAAAACAGCUAACAGAAUAAACCUUUCACCUCACGACAGCAAAUCUUUUUUUAUGUAGCUUGCCAUGGUGAAAACUUGAGAGUGAAGAGAUACCAACAGUUAUGAGUGCUGGCUGUUCUUCCAUAGAGCCAGCACCCACAUGAUGGCUCACAACCAUCUGUAACUACGGUUUCAGGAGACCCAGCACCUCAUCUAGCCUCCAUUGGCAUCAGACACGCACAUGUCACACAGACAUAUAAAUAAGCAAAACACCUAUUUGCAUAAAAUUUAAAAUAUAAUUGUCUUAAAGUAUAGCUCUUACAAUUACAUUUGUUGGAGCUGUGAAUUUUGAAUCUAAUUUAAUGCAUAUUACAUUCUUGGAUAUCUAGACUCAAUCUAAAGCCUUAAAUAUCUUUGUCAGUGUCUGCUUCCACAAGGAAGAUAUCCUAAUAUCAUACGAUGUGAGUGCAAGCUGGGCAUGCCUAUAAUCCCAGUACUUGGAAGGAGGAGGCAGCAACAACAUCAAGAGUUCAAAUCAUCCUCAACUGUAUAGAGAGUUCGGGGCCAGCCUAAGUUACAUGAAACCCCUUGUCAAAACACAAAAAUCAAAAUAAUAGAUGUUGGUGAAGCUGAGUAUGGUGGUUCAUCCCUAUGAUCUCUACAUUUGGGAGUCUGAGACAGGAGGAUCACUGUGAGUUUCAAGCCUGCCCAAGCUAUAGACUGAGGUACUAUCUCAAAACACACAACAGCAAAUACACUAAGGGGCUGCAGGGCUGCAUGGUUGGCAAUGUGCUUACUUCAUGAAGACCUGCGUGUGAUCCCUAGUACCCAACAACUUUCCAGCCCCCAGCCUCUGCUAACACCACAGAUGUGUAACACCACACCCAGCAAGCUCCAACCAACAAAGGCUAUCUGAAAAUAAAAACGAAGAAGCUGGGAGAGAUGGCUCAUUGGGUAAAAAUUCUUGCUACAUAACCAUGAAGACCUUAAUCAAAUCCCAGGAACACACAUAGAAAGGCAGGCAUGGUGUACAUGCUUAUAACUCCAGCACUUGGGGGGAAAGGAAGGCUCUCUAGGGCUUGCUUACCACCAGCCAAGCUCCAAGUUCAGUGAUAGACCCUAUCUCAAAAAAACAAGGUGGAGAAUGACAGAGCAGGUCACCUGAUACUCUCCUCUAGAUCUGCCCACACACAAAAAUAAACAUACUCACAUGUGUAUGUUUGUGUGUGUGUGUGUGUGUGUGUGUGUGUGUGUGUGUGUGUGUGUGUGUGUAUGUUUGUGUGAGCACAUACGAUACCACACAAAUAUAACUGGACUUCUAUAGAUGUAAAGUGACUGCUUUACUUUGACACAGAGAACCAAUUUACUGAGUUAGCUUGAGAGAACUUUUGCACCAGAUAGGGAUUCAAAUUCUGGUUCUCUUAAUAGCUAUGUAUUCAAGGUCACUUAACCAAUUGAGUUUCAGUUUGCUUAAAUAAACUAAACACACACACACACGCUAAAUUAAAUUUAAAAACCUACUUUACAGAUUUACUUUAAUAAUCAAAGAUUAUGCUCUUGAAAUAUAGUACAUAUUCAUAAGAGAUGACAUUAGAAAUAUUAAUAGUAUACAUGUAUAUCUAUGUAAAUAUCAGACCUCUAGAGUUGUGUAUGAUAGCCCCUGCAUGUAAUCCUAGCAGUUGGAAGGGAGAAGCAGAAGGCUCAGGAGUUCACUAUCAUCCUUUACUACACAGCCAGUAUCAAAGAGCCUAAAGUAGAUGAGCCCCUGCCAUGUGUGUAUACAUAUAUAUGUACAUGUUUAAUUUUCAUUCCUCAUAUAUGUCACUAUCUAUCAUCAUAGUAGCAUCCAAUGGAACACCAGUAUAACCUUACAGAUAGAAAGUCUACAACCAGCUCAGUAAUUUGUCCUUAAUACCACUUUCUCCCUAUAGAGGAUACAUCAUAAGCCCACAUUACCUUUAGUUCUUUCUUUAGUAAUCUAGAAUCUCUUCCUUUUUUCUUUUCUCAUGACAUUAAUAUUAAAGAGUUUGAGCCACUUACUUUUUUCUUUUCAAGAUAGGGUCUUGCUGUGUAAUCCCAGGCUUGCCUCCAAUAAACUACUCAGAAUAGGCAGGCUUUGAACUUGGGCUCCUCUGAGUCAUGGGAUUACAAGCAUGUAUCAAUAUGCCUAGACUGUGCUAGUUUUCUUGUCCUGUGCUCAAUGAUCUGGAUUUGACUGAUUUGUUACUCAUAACUAGAUUCAGAUUUCUUUUGAUAUAAUUAUUUUCUUGAGAUGGUAAAGCUCAAAUGCAAAUUUUUAAAGCAUGUGCUGUAUCACUAAAUUACAUUCCCAGUCUGAGUCAGAUUUUGAUUAUGAGUGUGCAUGAUAUGUAUGUGUGAUUACAGACUACUGAGUUCUGAUGCCAUAUACUCUUGGAUUACUAGACUAAAUCACAGUCCAAAACUUUACUGGUAGUCAAUAACAUUAUAGGUUUAAAUUGCUACUUUUUCGCUUUGUAGUGAGUUUCUAUGCACUUUUGGAAUUGAAACUCGAAAUUUAUCUGUCCUCUUCAACUACCAAAUUUGAUGGAAACCAGGAUUUUAGUGGUCAUGACAAAUUUCCUUUAAAAAUUAUGACAUCUGAGUUAGUAUAGUAGCACCAAUAAUCCCAGCACUAAGGAGGCAGAAGCAGGUGGAUCUCUGAGUUCAAGAACAGCCUGGUCUACAGAGCAAGUUCCAGGACAGUCAGGGACAGGGACACACACACACACACACACACACGCAUCAUCUAGAUGCUGAAAAGUUGGUUCAACAGUCAGGGACACACACACACACACACACACACACACAUACACACACACACACACGCACGCACGCAUCAUCUAGAUGCUGAAAAGUUGGUUCAACAGUCAGGGACACACACACACACACACACACACACACACACACACACACACACAAAAUCUAGAUGCUGAAAAGUUGGUUCAACAGUUAAGAACGCUUGCUGUUCAAUCUGAGGACUAGGUUUUGGAUCUUAGCACCUACAUAAAAGCUGGGAAUAGGCUGGAGAGAGAGCUCAGUGGUGAAGAGCACUUGCUGCCUUUCCCAAAGACACAGGUUUGAUUCCCAGUAUCCAUAUGGCAGCUUAUAACCAUCUCUAACUCCAGAAGAUCUGACACCCUCUUCUGGUUACUACAUACACCAGACACGCAUAUGGUAUACAGACUUACAUGCAGACCAAACACUCAUUCACAUAUAAUUAAUUAAAAUUAAGAAAUCACCUGAAAUGGGAACCACACACAGGAGUCACAAAAUCAACAUGUAAGGCUAAAAUAGCUUACCUUGUGUACCAAUGUAAGCAUUCUUCUGCUUGUAGCCAUCCAUGAAACUGGCAUUGAUGUAAUCUGUCUAAUAAUAAAAGGGAGACAUCAUUGAAAGAACACACAUAUACCAUUUGACUCUUAAAAUGAUGUAUGUACUGGGUAAAUUCAAUUCAAGGUAUGGAUGUUCUCUUCCUGUCAAACAGAAAAUGAAAAGUAAGAGGGCCAAUUUAGCAUGCAGGUAGAUCAUGAGAUAUUUUUAUUAGUAAUGAAAGGGAGUAAAGAAGAGGCAGGGAUAUAGCUGAGUGGAAGAGUGCUUCUGUGGGCCACUUGCUUCACUUUGGCAAAUGUACUAGCACAAAUGGAUGGAUGGAUGGAUGGAUGGAUGGAUGGAUGGAUGGAUGGAUGAUGGAUGGACGAAUAGAUGGAUGGAUAGAUUUCACAAUAACCCUUUCAUCAUACCAUACACAAAAAUCUAAGUCCUAUAUAGUAGCAUAUGCCUGUAAUCCCAGUACUCAAGGGGCAGAGGCUAGAGGAUCACAUCAAGUUCAAAGCCAGUUUUGUCUACAAUAGUAAAUUCUAAACCAACUGAACUACACAGUGAGAUCCUCUCUUUAAAAAUGAAAACUUAUGGGCUGGAGAGAUGGCUCAGUGGUUAAGAGCACUGACUGUUCUUCCAGAGAUCCUGAGUUCAAAUCCCAGCAACCACAUGGCGGCUCACAACCUUCUGUAAUGGGAUCCGAUGCCCUCUUCCGGUGUGUCUGAAGACAGCUCAGUGUACUUAUAUAAUAAAUAAAUAGAAAAUAAUAAUAAUAAAAAGAAAACUUAUGAACGAAACACCUCAAAAUAAAAUAAAGACACAAAGGAAAACGUUAAGAUAAACUCUCAGACAAAAGCAAACUGGACAAGCUGCAGGGGAACAAGCCAGUAAGCAGCAUUCCUCCAUAGUCUCUGCUUCAGUUCUGAAUCUAGGUUCCUGCCUUGGCUUCCCUUGAGGAUGGAUUGUAACAUGAAAGCCAAAUAAACUCUUUCCUCUUCAAGGUGCUUCAAAGCCAGUGUUUAUCAUAGCAACAGAAGAUAAGAACAAACAAACACACCACUGAAACUAAAAAUGAGACAUAAUUUACAAAAAUGUACAUCUAGGCUGUGUCUAUGACUUGGUGAGAGCUUGCCUGGCAAGCAUGGAGCCUUGGGUUCAAUCCUUAGCAACACAAACAAACAAACAACUAGGUAUGGUGCUAUCUACAUGUAAUCCUAGCACUUGCAGGAGGAACAGAGUUCAAGGUCAUCCCAGAGUGCAUAGUAUGUUUGAGGCCAGUUUGGUCUACAUGAGACCCUGUCAAUAAACAAAUAAAUAAACAAACAAAGCUGGUGUUGUGGUAAAUGCCUCUGAACGAAAAAUUCUGGAGAGUAAGACAGGAGGCCAGACUGGCUGCAUAACAACCUUUGAAUUCAAAAAAGAAAAUUCAAGGGCAGGGACGUAAAUGUUCAUUUACUGUGAAAACAGUCUCUAGCAUUGUUUGUAGCAAAGGAAUUACAAGUCAGGCAAUGAUCUUCAGAUUAACUACAGAACGAUUAGAAUCAUCUCCUGUUAUACUCAUCCACAAAUAUAUUCCCAAUUCUGCAAAUAAAUCAGACGCAAAUCCUCAGAUUAUUUUAGGAUGACUAGAAAAAAUAUCCUGGUAUACUGGGGUUCACUCAAACCUACACAACACUGCUAUAUACACUGGUAACAGAGCACUCAAAAAAAAAAAAACCAAAACCAAAACAACAACAACAACAAAAAACCAGGUAUUUUUUUCACUCAAUCAUUAUCUUUCACUCCUGAAGAGAAUAUAUUAAGGCAAUUUCAGCAGUACUGUGAGUAAAAAGCUUGGCUAUCUGUCAUGGGAGAAGAAUAAGAAUCCUGGGCAGGACUAUGAAUGCCUGAAAUAGAAGGGUCAAGAAACCGUGAAAGCAGAACCCAUGAUUUUCUCAAAAUUAUCCUCAAGCAAAAUAAAGGCUGAUAUAUCAAAUAUGUAUAAUGCAAGUCAUGUUAAAUAGGUGCUCUUAAUUUUCUCUACUUUGAAAGAGGAACUAUAAUCGAUAGUAAGUUGUGGGAAGGGAGAGGUUGUUUGCUUGAUUAGGACAUCCCCCCCCACAUCUGUUUAUUAUUUCUGUGGUGUGUGGCUGUGUGGGUGGUGCUAGGGCACACAUGCACACAUAUGUGCACCACACCACUUAUGUGAAGGUUAGACAACAACUCUAGGGAAGUCAUUUUUUUCUCUUUUCUACCAUGUGAUUCUGGGUACUGAUCUAAACUUGUAAGGCUGGGCAGCAAAUGCCCUGAGGUGCUGAGCCAUCUAACCAGUCGGGGGUUGGUUGACUUUGCUCUAAUCGUUCUUUUCCUUGAGUAGGUUUUGUAGCCCUCUCAAAUAAAGGUAACAGCACUUGUACAAAACCUGAGAAGGGAGGGAUUCAGUGUGGGGACCAUGUGGUGGGAAAAAGGAACCAACUCCAAGAGUUGUCCUCUAAGCUCCUCCUAGGCACUGAGGCACAUGUACCCAUGUGCACAGACAUGAACUAUAAAUAACAGCUGGGCACAUGCCCCCCUUCCCUUUUUUUGAGACAGGGUCUCUCUACUUAGCCUUGGCUAUCCUGGAACUCACUCUGUAGACCAGACUAUCAUACACCUUUAAUGGAAGCACUUGGGAGGCAGAGACAGGCUUAUCUACUUGAGUUAAAGGUCAACCUGGUCUAUACUGCAAGUUCCAGGCCAGGCAAGACUAUAUAGUGAGAUCCUGCAUUAAAAUGAAAAAAAAAAAAAAAGCAAACAAACAACAACAAAAACCCACAUAAUAUACCAGCUUGUCAGCAUCCACAACAAAAUUGACUUAUUCUCUUUGGUAUGGCGACAUGGGUAUUUAAGGACUGUCUCCAGCAACAGAAUACAUCAAAAUCAUAACUCAAAUGUCAUCUCUCUGGUGUCGAGUCCAUUUCAUCCACCUGCAGCACAAUACUAAGUUUCACCUUGAAAGAGUCUUAAUUCCCAUGGUGCUGAGAAAAAUACAGCAUUAAUCUAUCUACCUGAGUG